GCUCAGUCAGUUAAGCAUCUGACUUUGGCUCAGGUCAUGACGGUUCGUGGGUUCGAGUCCCACAUUGGGCU
rnacentral:tRNA from 1 species